UCCCUGCUGGUAUAGUGGUUAGGACUCGGCAUUUUCACUGCUGUGGCCCAGGUUCAAUCCCUGAUCUGGGAA
rnacentral:tRNA from 1 species